AUUGAACGCUGGCGGCAUGCUUUACACAUGCAAGUCGAACGGUAACAGGGAGCUUGCUCCGCUGACGAGUGGCGAACGGGUGAGUAAUGCGUCGGAACGUGCCGAGUAGUGGGGGAUAACGCAGCGAAAGUUGUGCUAAUACCGCAUACGUACUGAGGUAGAAAGUGGGGGACCUUCGGGCCUCACGCUAUUCGAGCGGCCGACGUCUGAUUAGCUAGUAGGUGAGGUAAAGGCUCACCUAGGCGACGAACAGUAGCGGGUCUGAGAGGAUGAGCCGCCACACUGGGACUGAGACACGGCCCAGACUCCUACGGGAGGCAGCAGUGGGGAAUUUUGGACAAUGGGCGAAAGCCUGAUCCAGCCAUGCCGCGUGUCUGAAGAAGGCCUUCGGGUUGUAAAGGACUUUUGUCGGGGAGGAAAUCCCCAGCGCUAAUACCGCUGGGGGAUGACAGUACCUGAAGAAUAAGCACCGGCUAACUACGUGCCAGCCGCCGCCGUAA
rnacentral:rRNA from 1 species